rnacentral:rRNA from 1 species
ACACUCCUACGGGAGGCAGCAGUGGGGAAUUUUGGACAAUGGGCGAAAGCCUGAUCCAGCAAUGCCGCGUGAGUGAAGAAGGCCUUCGGGUUGUAAAGCUCUUUUGUCAGGGAAGAAACGGUGAGAGCUAAUAUCUUUUGCUAAUGACGGUACCUGAAGAAUAAGCACCGGCUAACUACGUGCCAGCAGCCGCGGUAAUACGUAGGGUGCAAGCGUUAAUCGGAAUUACUGGGCGUAAAGCGUGCGCAGGCGGUUUUGUAAGUCUGAUGUGAAAUCCCCGGGCUCAACCUGGGAAUUGCAUUGGAGACUGCAAGGCUAGAAUCUGGCAGAGGGGGGUAGAAUUCCACGUGUAGCAGUGAAAUGCGUAGAUAUGUGGAGGAACACCGAUGGCGAAGGCAGCCCCCUGGGUCAAGAUUGACGCUCAUGCACGAAAGCGUGGGGAGCAAACAGGAUUAGAAACCCGAGUAGUCCCAUG